rnacentral:rRNA from 1 species
UACAGAGGGUGCGAGCGUUAAUCGGAAUUACUGGGCGUAAAGCGUGCGUAGACGGCUAUCUAAGUCGGGUGUGAAAGCCCCGGGCUCAACCUGGGAAUUGCAUUCGAGACUGAAUAGCUAGGGUACGGUAGAGGGAAGUGGAAUUUCCGGUGUAGCGGUGAAAUGCGUAGAUAUCGGAAGGAACAUCAGUGGCGAAGGCGGCUUCCUGGACCAGCACCGACGUUCAGGCACGAAAGCGUGGGGAGCAAACAGG